rnacentral:rRNA from 1 species
UCCUACGGGGCGCAGCAGUGGGGGAUAUUGCACAAUGGGGGGAACCCUGAUGCAGCGACGCCGCGUGGGCGAUGGAGUGCUUCGGCAUGUAAAGCCCUAUCAGCAGGGAAGAAAAUGACGGUACCUGACUAAGAAGCCCCGGCUAAAUACGUGCCAGCAGCCGCGGUAAUACGUAUGGGGCAAGCGUUAUCCGGAUUUACUGGGUGUAAAGGGAGCGUAGGCGGCCUGGCAAGCCUGAAGUGAAAGGCGGGGGCCCAACCCCCGGACUGCUUUGGGAACUGUACGGCUGGAGUGCAGGAGAGGUA